UACGUAGGAUGCAAGCGUUGUCCGGAAUUACUGGGCGUAAAGCGCGUGUAGGCGGCUAAGUAAAUCGGGCGUGAAAAUCCCCACGGCUCAACCGUGGAAGUGCACUCGAAACUGCAUAGCUAGAGUCCUGGAGAGGAAGGUGGAAUGCUUGGUGUAGAGGUGAAAUUCGUAGAUAUCAAGCGGAACACCGGUGGCGAAGGCGGCCUUCUGGACAGUGACUGACGCUGAGACGCGAAAGCGUGGGGAGCAAACAGG
rnacentral:rRNA from 1 species